ACUCUCCAAAAGCUUCAGGACAGAUCUUCACCAUCACUGACUUCAGAGCUGAACACAGUGGGAGUUAUUCCUGUGAAGCCCAGAACAAGUUAGGACGUAGUAUCUCCACCUUUCAUCUGAGUGUUGGAACAGGGAGUUCAACAAUGAUAGUGAAUAUCAUCAGGACGACUCUGGGGGUCUUGAUUCUGAUUCCUGUGUUUCUCCUGAGUCUGUGGAUGAGGAAGAAGAUAGCUCUGCGCUCCACCACUGAAGCACAUCUACCUGAAGAGAUAGAGUUGGACUCUGUUCCUGAGUAUGAGAACGACUCACACACUGCAGCACAGACAGAAGACACAGAGGAGCAGGAAGACCUGGUGUGAAGUCCAGUCAG